GUCCCACCGGGCCCGCACCGGGCGUGUUUCAGUAUAUUUUUUUCCACCGGGCGUGUUUUAGUAGGACCCGAUAUUUCAUCUCAUCAAAAUCAUCACUUGCAUUGGCAUAUUGUAACUUCGAUUUUACAUCGAGUAAAGAAAUUCAAUCGAACUGUUGCUGGACAACUGGUACAAACAAAGUUAAAAAAAAUUGGUUAUGUUCUAUCCAACAGCAAUAUUGUUUUUUAUUUCAUUUUUCUAGUUACCGCUAUUAUGCUUCGGAGAAAUAUAAGUUGAAGCCAGAACGAAGCGCGUAAUUUUUAAAUUGAAUAUUAAUAUCCGACAUAAAACUAAAUUUAUAGAAUUUUCUCCCGUCUUUUUAGAAUUUUCUCGAUCCAGCUUUGAAUAUGUUCAACGUCAUACCUAAAAUAUGAAACAUUAUCUUCUUCAAAAAAGUGCGAGGAGGGAUGUUAUAGUGUGGACAUAAUAUUCAAAUAUCCUGAUCUUGUUUUAAACAAUUAACAACAGUCUAUGAAAGUCGUGAGAAUACGGUUUUAUAAUUUUUUAAAUAUUGCGGAAAGUGUUAAAUAUUCGAAUUUCGUGUUCAUAUAAUUUUAUUUGCACGAACGCAAAAAUAUUACACAACAGGCGUCAUACAUGAUUUUGUAACCAAAAUUGUAACAGUAAAUAUUGUGUGUCUAAUAUGAUUUACAUAUGAUGUAAAUAUUGUGUGUCAAAUAUGAUUUAAAGUGUAUGUACAACGAGACAAUUCUUUUUUAUACAGCAUUGAUUUAAAUAUGAUGUAAAUAUUGUGUGUCAAAUAUGAUUUAAAGUGUAUGUACAACGAGACAAUUCUUUUUUAUACAGCAUUGUUUAUCAAUAAAGAUCUUUCAAAAAGAAUAUUUCUUUUUUGUACAGCAUUGUUUAUCAAUAAAGAUCUUUCAAAAAGAAUAUUACAUGUCAUAAAACCAUAUUUAUAAAAUCUUGCACCAGACAAGCUUUGGAAAUGUAAUAGUGCUUCUGAAUAACUAAACAAUGAAACAUUACGGGGAUGGGAAGUAAAUAUUGUAAAGAAUAUUGAUAUAGUUUAGGUCACUUUACUGUUAAUUGACUUUGUUUUUCAAUCAAACUUCGAAAACAAAAGUUGUUUUUGUAACUUGACCCAUGUUUUGCAAUAACAUGUUGUUGUUAUUGUAACCGUUCACUUGUUUGGCUCGAGUAUGAUAUCUCCGAGUUGAUAAUGUUCGCGCCCGACGUUUGAAGUGGUGGUGGAGCUUUAAUCAGAGGUUGGAGCCUCGUUAGUGAAAGUUGUACAUAAACCCUGUUUAGAUGUGCGCAGUCAUUCCAAUUCCUGUGAACACCGUUGCUCUGACAGUUUACACAGUGAUUGCAAGUAUACCGAAGUUCUGCCGAAUGUUUUUUAUGAAAUCUGAAGAUCAUCUUUUACAAUUAAGACGAACGUGAUAACUAACGUACACGCGGCAAAUUUGCUCAGCGUGGUGUGAGGGCACGUUUAGUUCGAUCCAAUUGGGAUUUCGGGGAAACAAACAGCAAAGUUGUUUCCAGAACCAAAAUGAAAGAAGAAAGCUCUGUUCAUCACGGACAGCAAUGGGAGAGAUUUGGUUUUACUAUGUUGGUUCUCGUCCUUCUAAUGAUUUCCCAUUCAACCUUUCCAUAAUUUCUGUGCCCGGUGGCUGCAUCAUGCACGGAGGAGACAUUGAGUUGCGAUGUCCCGCCUCAAUCAUGAAGAAUGUUGAUGCUGUUAUUACUGGUCUAGGUACGACUAGGGUUCGAAGUGAACGAGAAACCACAGUACGUCGUGAAUUCGAUCUUACGUCGAGCGAAAUGCACCAUUGGUGCUGCAGCACGAGAACUGUAUCCUCAUGACAACGGUAUACAUCUUGUGUACGUACAUUAACAAUAGCUUUAUACAUUUAUGUUCUCAGGUAUAUUUCAAUUCCAUUUUGCCACAGAGCUCACCAUCCGACAGAAUCGUGCUAAUGCUUAAUGUAGUACUUUUAAGCCUGCGGUUAUAUCUGUUGGGGCAAGUUUAUUAACAUUGGCAUGCAUAAUACCAGUAAAUUAUGGUACGAAUCUAUCCAUUUAUCAGAUAAAGCCUUGUCCCAAAUGUUAAAGCAGAGGGACAGCUGCUAAAUGGUAAUCGAAAAGUACAGGUUAGAGCAAAUAGUGGGUUCGGAUUAAACGGUAAAUAUAUAUAAUUUGUAUUAAGCAUACUAUAUUUGUUAUAUCUUUAGCAGCGCGGCACACCGAGAAGUCUUCCCAGGCCGGUAAACUACGAUCACCCAGUUUGUUACACUAUUCAAAUAUACCAUUUUACAUUUUUCAAGUUAGCAGCGACUGGUCGGACUUAUGUCUCUGUGGUGAAAGCUGGACAGGCAACUAAUGCGAGAACGAGCGGGGUGGGUUCGACGAAAGCGAGGGGGGGUUCGUCGAAAGCGAAAACGAGCGGGGUGGAUUCGGCUGUUGCGAGAGCUGUUGGACCGAUUUAUUUAGACGCGGCUUGGCAGAGAGCAAUCCGUUUUGUAGUGUCUUUACUUCUCUAAAAUCAACACUGGAACAAAACAUGCAUGGUGAAAGGUGUGUUUCACUGUACAGGGAUGUGCAAAUUUACAUAUUGCGGACAAAAAUUUAAUAUUAAUUUGUAUAAAAUGAGGCCACCAGAAAAUUUCAUGUAAAUUAUGAGGGUACUGUUAAACAUGACACAAACGAACUUCAUGGUACUAGGUUAAAGGGGGAUCGUCAAAGAAUAUGCAAGAAAAACUGGUAAAUGUAAAUCCGGGAACUGUUUACAUCGAUAACAUUAAAGGUUUAUCUCGUGACGUGUACGAUUCGGGAAACCGUACCGACACCCCAAGAAAAUGUGUGCUUAAAAGGAUCUCGGUACCAGGCUAGAAAAAAUAGACGUCCCGUGUGACAAUGAGAACACUGCGUUGGAAGUUUUAAAAGACAAACAGGAAAAUAAUCAAGUAAAGCCUUCGAUAUGCAACAUGCCUGCAAACACCCAUUUAAUUCCAACAAGUUACUAUAUUUUGUAAGUGACCCAAGCCGCUUGAUUAAAACUGCAAGGAAUAACUUUAUCAGUAGCAAGGGAGGGAAACAUAAAUGUAUGUGGAAUGACGGAUUCAUGAUAUGGGACAUGGUGGUUGGUCUUUAUCUGAAGGAUGUUGAUUCACCAAAUAAAUUGACCGAGCUGCCUAAACUAACAUGUUUUUCCCAAAAACUUUUUGAACGUAUGGGAGUUUGUUAUGCUGCGCAGGUCGUGUCACAUUCGGUUGGAAAGGAGUUGGAAAAGGAUGGGCACUUAGCAAUAGUAACAUUUGUAAAAUUAAUGAACAGAUUUUUUGAUAUUCAACAGUCGGCAGCACACACAUCGACAAAAAACAUUCUAUUCAAUGAAUGAUGACAGAAUUGUCUGACUGAAAGAAGUUUUUAUACCCUACUUUAUGAAUUGAAAAAAUGCAGUUAAUGAUCGCCAGAAGCCCAAUGGAGAAACUUAUACGCCUAAACUAACAUCCAAACAUGUUUUUCCCAACAACUUUGACCGUAUGAGAGUGUGUUAUGCUGCGCAGGUCGUGUCACAUUCGGUUGGAAUAGAGUUGGAAAAGGAUGGACACUUAGCAAUGGUAACAUUUGUAAAAUUAAUGAACAGGUUUUUUGAUAUUCAACAGUCGGCAGCACACACAUCGACAAAAAACAUCCUAUUUAAUGAAUGAUGACAGAAUUGUCUGACUGAAAGAAGUUUUAAUACCCUAAUUUUGAAUUGAAAAAAUGCAGUUAAUGAUCGCCAGAAGCCCAAUGGAGAAACUUAUGCAACAACCGAAA